rnacentral:lncRNA from 1 species
AGAUGGUCUCAGUCCAGGCUCGUUCAGGCUGGAGUGCAGUGGUGCAAACUUGGCUCACUGCAACAUCCACCUCCUGGGUUCCAGCGAUUUUCCUGCCUUAGCCUCCCAGGUAGCUAGGACUAGAGACGUGCCACCAUGCCCAGCUAACUUUUGUGUUUUUCGUAGAGACAGGGUUUUGCCAUGUUGGCCACGCUGACCUGGAACUCUUGACCUUAUGUGAUCCAUGUGGCCACUUUGGCCUCCCAAAGUGCUAUAUUACAAGCAUAAGCCACUAUACCUGGCCCUUCUUUCUUUUGGCUAACUCUCUGAGCAAAACUCUUUCUGCCAUGGGAGAUCAUUACCUUAUCAUUGGUCAUUUUCAGGAUCUUCUGAGAACACAGACCAGAAGUACUGAGUUUGGAAUGCAGUGGGCAAUCAUGACUGGAGCCACCAAGAGCUGGAAGAGGCGGGAAAGAUCCUCCCCUAGAGCUUCCAGGGGGAGCUCAGCCCAGCCCUCACCUUGAUCUCAGAUUCCUUGUUUCCAGUACUGGAAAAGAAUAAACACCUGUUACUUUAAGCCACCCCAAUUAUGGUUAUUUGCUACAGCAUCCAUAGGAAUUUAAAACCUAAGAGGUAUGAAUUCUAUUUUGCUGUCAAAAGGCUUCUUCUGUGAUAAGUAGAUAUACCACCUAUAUAGUUGUAUCUUUUUCUCCUCUUCAUUGGGAUUGGAAGUCAGUUGAUGUCUUCAGUCCUCCUAUCUCAAUGUUAAUUUUACUUUCUCUUUAAUUCUCUGUUCUAAAACAAUCCUUUUUAUAUUGCUUAAUUAAAUAUCAGUGUCUUUCUCAUCAACAUGAGACUAAAAUCCUUUUUACUUUGGGUCUAGGAAGAAGCAGUAUUCUCCUCCUCCUCCUUCUCCUCCCCCUUCUACUCUUCCACCUCUUCCUCAUCUUAUUCCUCCUCCUCCUCCCCCUUUCCCUCCUCUCGUUUCUUUUUCCUCCUACACUUUCUCCUUCUUCUUAUCUGUCUUUUUAGAGAUGGAGUCUCUCUCUGCUGCCCAGACUAGAGCGCAGUGGCGUAAUCUAGCUCACUUCAGCCUCAAAUCUCCUGGACUCAAGUGAUCUUCUUACCUCAGCCUGCUGAAUAGCUAGGACUACAGGUAUGCACCACCAUGUCCCCUUUUGUUUUACACUUUUUUGUAGAAAUGAGGUCUCACUAUGUUGCCCAAGCUGGUCUCAGGCUUCUAACCUCAAGUGAUCUUCCUCUAUGGCCUUGCAAAGCACUCGGAUUACAGGUGUGAGCACUGCACUUUGGCCUGUUGGGUUAUGCAGUAGGAGAGCAGGGAUGGUGGUAGUGGCUCCAUAUGGAUUCCUGCAAAAAGUGGUGUGGGUGAAUACUGGAUGCCCCGUUAUGUUGGAACUUCUAAAUUCCUGAGCUAAAUUAGAAAAAAAGAAGCAGCUCUUGAAAGGAAUGAUGUUGUGAAGGAGAGAUGCUUGGAGAAACCAGUAUACAACCCUUAUAAAUAAUUUGAUACUAUUGGUUUUGAUGCCUGUUCCUUUUAAACAGUUGUUGAUUGAAAUGACACAGCCAGUUGGGGUGGCUCAAGCCUGUAAUCCCAUUACUUUGGGAAGCGGAAGUGGGUGGAUCACCUGAGAUCAGGAGUUCAAGACCAGCCUGGCCAACAUGGUGAAACCCCAUCUUUACUAAUAAUACAAAAAUUAGCCAAGUGUGGUGGUGCACAUUUGUAAUCCCACCUACUCAGGAGGCUGAGGCAGGAGAGUAGCUUGAACCUGGGAGGCGGAGGUUCCAGUGAACCAAGAUUGAGCCAUUGCACUCCAUCCUAGGUGACAAGAGCAAAACUCCAUCUCCAAAAACAGCAAAGAAAUGAUGCAUGACUCCAGCUGAUCUUUUCCAGUUAAAUUGCCCUAGAACAUCAGAGUUUCUCAGAUAAAUUGAUGUGGAAUUUCAGAAUAGGUGGUAAUGUCUAAAAUAGUAAUGUCCAACAUUCACCUCAGUGUGGGGAAACUGGUUGUGGCCAGGGGUGGUUGCAAGCUGAGUUGUAUGGGUGACAGAGUUCAUCUGAUAAACAAAAAAACAUGUGAGUACUGGUUUGUGAGGAUUGAUUUCACAGACAAAUAGUGACCAUGGAAGUCAGUGUUUAAAAAACAAAUAGAUUUGGCCAGGCGCAGUGGCUCACACCUGUAACCCAGCACGUUGGGAGGCUGAGGCGCAUGGAUCCCGAGGUUGGGAGAUCAAGACCAUCCUGGCCAACAUGGUGAAACCCUGCCUCUACUAAAAAUGGAAAAAUUAGCUGGGUGUGGUGGCACACACCUGUAAUCCCAGCUACUCAGGAGGCCGAGGCAGGAGAAUCGCUUGAACCCUGGAAGGGGAGAUUGCAAUGAGCCAAGAUUGUGCCACUGCACUCCAGCCUGGUGACAAAGCAAGACUCUGUCUUAAAAAAAAAAAAAAAGAUUCAGGCCAUAAGUUUGCAGGUUUGUUGCAAGAUAUAUUGCUUAGUGAGGGGUGUUGGCCUUCUAGUAUAUCUAUCUCCCAAACAGUGAACAUAAUACCAGAUAGGUAAGUUUUCAACCCUCACACCCUCCCACCUUUCCCCAUUUUAAGGUGUCCAGGGUCUGUUAUUCCAUUUUAUAGGUACAUGAAUACCCAUUGUUUAGCUCCACUUUUUAAGUGGGAACAUACGGUAUUUGAUUUUCUGUUUCUGAGUUCUUUCACGUAGGAUAUUGGCCUGCAGCUGCAUUUAUCUUGGUGCAAAAUACAGUUUCAUUUUUCUUUUAUAAAUGCAUAAUAUUCCUUGGUGUGUGUAUACCACAUUUUCUUUAUCCAGUAAACACUAAGGUUCAUUCCAUGAUUUUGCUAUUGUGAAUUGUGCUGCAAUAAACAUAAAACAGGAAGGUGUCUUUUUUUUUUUUUUUUGAUGGAAUUUUGCUCUUUCACACAAGCUGCUAAAUCGUGAAGUGGCAUGAUCUCAGCUCACUGCAACCUCCACCCUCUGGGUUCAAGCGAUUAUCCUGCCUCAGCCUCCCAAGUUGCUGCAAUUAUAGGCAUCUGCCAUCAUCCCCGGCUAAUUUUUGUAUUGUUAGUAGAGAUGGGUUUUUGUCAUGUUGGCCAGGCUUGUCUCAAACUCCUGACCUUGAGUGAUCCACCUGCCUCAACCUAUCAAAGUGCUGGGAUUAUAAGCAUGACCCACUGCUCCCGGCCACAGGUGCCUUCUAUGAUAGUUCAUUUUUGUUUGGGUAGAUAGCCAGUGGUGGAGUUGCUGUGUCAAAAUUAGCUCUGUUUUAAGUUCUUUGACAAAUCUGCAUACUGUUUUCCGUAGAGGUUGUACUAAUUUAUAUUCUCACCGACAGUGUAUAAGCAUUCGCUUCUCUCUGUGUUCUUUCCAACAUCUGUUGCUUUUGGAAAUCAGUGUUUUUCUAUGAGGCCUUCAUAUUGGCUGUGAAUGAAAGUGAUAACUUGAAAGACAGUCUAUUUUUGGACAAGCAUAGAGGGGAAUGGGAAUGGUCAGGAAACACACUGGAAUUGUAGGAGAGCUUGUUAUUUUGAUCUGACUUGAGCUCAUGAAAUGGAGUAGCCUCUUCAUGGAACAAAGUUUCCUCCCUUGUAAUGGUAGUUGCCAGAGGCAGUAACAGUGAAAUACAUUAAAAAAGUGAAAGCCAGAGGAAUCAUUUGAUUAGAACUUUCAGUGGCUUUGAGUCGCUAUACCAAACAGCUCAAUUAUGUUAUCUCUGCUGUGAAAAAAACACCUUUUUCUCAUGUGUACAUCUCUUGAACACAGUCUCACAUAAAACAUGCCCUAAUUACAUGGUCCCUGUUAGACACUAUACCAGGGAGUGCUUGACUUUGAUGUUGCCCCGAUUGUCUGAAGUCUACAAAAAUCUCCUGCAGGCAGAGCUUAAACCUCCUGCUUCCAUGGAACCAAUGCAUUCAAAGGUUGUAAGCCACCUUUGAGAUUUUUUAGGCUGGCUACCUAGUCGUAUGUAGGAGAAAGAUGAAGUCUAACGAAGCCAAGUGAUUUUCAGCCACACAAUGUGUACCUUGGUCUAGGGUCAGGUUAUUCAGCUUCCUACUACACCAGGUUUUAGAAUACAAUUUUUAUUAGGUGGGAUUUAAUUAAUGUAGUUGUAUAAAUUUAAAGAAAAAAUACGUGUUACCGAUAUAAGACAUAGAGAUUAUAUAUGUAUUUAUAUACGUAAGAGAAAUAGAUGGACAGAUGGAUAGAUUGAUGGAUAAAUGGUUGAUAGAAAAAUAUGUACAUAGCCAGGUAUGGUGGCUCACACCUGUAAUCCCAGCACUUUGGAAGGCCACGGUGGGUGGAUCACGAGAUCAGGAGAUUGAGACCAUCCUGGCCAACAAGAUGAAACACCAUCUCUACUAAAAAUAGAAAAAUUAGCUGGGCAUCGUGGUGCGUACCUAUAGUCCCAGCUACUCGGGAGGCUGAGGCAGGAGAAGCACUUGAACCCAGGAAGCAGAGGUUGUAGUGAGCCGAGAUU